UCUAACCCUUAUCAGUAUAGAGAGAGAAUCAGUGAAUCAUGUACAGAGAGAGAAACGGAAGGAGGGGAGCCGGCCAAGGCCUCCGGCCGGCCACCCUAAUCCGACAAUAGUAGGGUUGGCGAUGGAGGCUGCUCGAUGCAAGUCAGGUCAUCGCACUGGCGGUUAACCGCCGUAAUCCAAGUGGUGUCUAGGGUUUCGUUGGUAACAACAACUACAAUAGCAAGAUGAUUCAUUCACAACAUGAACAUUAUCUUUCUUAAUUAACUGUUUGCAUCAAUUUAGGUUGGCGAAAGCCGGUGCGGCUAACACCUAGGCUGAAUCUGUAGCUGCUGAUCUUGAUGCGGAUAUCGCCUUGCUUAUGUUAAGACACUAAUUCCAUUCCGACCAUCCGACCACAUUCCAGUCCGCUGCUAACUAGAAUUGUUGCCUCGGUUUAUAUUCUAAUACAUCAGCAAGAUCAGCAGAGGAAUCUGGUUGUGAUUCCGAAUUUGUGGAAUUGGAAGGUUGUUGUUGGCACACGUCAUAUGGCUAUGUUGCUAUCAUGUUUGGAAGACCAGCCAAAGGGUUGUUUGACUGAAUGAAAAUAAUAUGCAUGCUGCAAGGGAUAACUACGGAUGUUGUAAGAUACUACUACUAUAAUUGAGUGAUUUGUGGAAUCUAUGGUUAAUCUCAAAUGUGCAUUUGAGAGUUAGUUAAUGAUUCUUUUAGUUGCGCUGUUAAGUUACUUGAGUCGAUUAGUGAAUAUGUAGUUUUAAGACAUAUCUUAUGUGAAAACCAUCAAACGAUCAAUGUGCUGCUUGAUCGAUCUAUACUAUACAAGCUUGCUGCCACAUUUUGUUUCAUGUUUAAUGAAGAACCUAGAUUGCUUUUAAAUGAGAUACAAAGUUGUGAGGCUUCUUGACCUUUGACUAAUCCAUCAGAAUUAUAAUACAAAACUGUAGCAAGCAUUUUCUUGAAAACGGCAAUAGCUUACCUAGAACGACAAUAGCCUUGCAUCAUUUUUUUAAGACUAAAAGAAUCUGACAUCAACAGUCAAGCGGGGAUAAUAUAGAGAACUUUGAUCAACAAAGAUAUGUGUUCAGGUAUUUAUACCAAACUAUUUUAAUGAAGAUAUUAUAACAAGUACAUGCUGAGAUUGUUGGGUAUGUCAAGUUAUUCAGAUCCUGGGUACAGCGGUGGCAACUGGCUAUGGACGCGGCUUCUCCAUUCGUUCUGCGACUCUUCGACAAAGGGGCUAUUUGAGUAUUGGUUCUCAUGCUGCAAUAAAAUGUAUGUGAUCAGUUUUCGAGGUGGUGUUUGUAUGUUGAGGAUCAUGUUCAUUAGUGGUGGUUCAACAUUUCAAAGACAUAAAGCAAUAGGUCUCACGCCACGACACGACACGCGGAGACAAGAAAAUGAUUAAUUUCCAUAAUUUUUAUUUUAUGUUGAAAUGAGAUGUUUGCUGUAUUGUUUGCAGCUGGAAAAAAAAUGUAUGGCGGCUUCAAGUGCCAAAAAAAACCAAAACCGCCAUGAUUCCAGACACACAAAGCUUUUUCACUGGAUGCUGCAGACCCAUAGCUGACCAGGGAGCUUGCCAUUUUUAAAAGGGCAAGAAUGAAGCGUAUGAAAGCCCCGCUCUUGCAAAAGAAAUCUUGAAAUGCCUCAUCCUCAUCCUUGCAUCAUCUAAAGACGAGAUGCCAAGAAUGAUAGGAAGGGGAAACACCUUUUGCAUAGUUGCCUACUAGGAAACAACCGCAACUGGAAACCGUAGUUCAAGAAGCCACAUCGCUUGGGACAAUGUCUUUUGCGUAAGUUAUGUAACUAACAUGCUUAAUGUUAGUCACGUAACUUGCAACCAUAACAUUUCUAUAAAAUCUAAUUACUAACUUAUUGCUCUAGCUUAUGUAAUUAAUCAUAUCGAUGUGACUCAACGAUAACUGGCUGAAUAUAACUAUAAAUCUAUUUCCCACCGCAUCGCGGCGGGUUACAUUUCUAGUUGGUA